rnacentral:snoRNA from 1 species
UGAUGACAGUCUCCGGAAUCGCUGCUCCCUUGUGAUGACAGCUGCUCGAACCCUUUUCCAUCUGAUGGCCGAGCGCUGGCC